CUACGGGCCGCUGCAGUUAGGAAUAAUCUGCAAUGCGCGCAAGCGUGACAGUUUGAACCAGAGUGCUUCUCAUUGAGAAGCUUUUGCCAAAUGUAAAAAGUUUGGCGAAUAAGGACUGGGUAAGACUAGUGCCAGCCGCCGCGGUAAUACUAGCGGUCCAAGUCGCAGCCAUAUUUAUUGGGUCUAAAACAUCCGUAGCUUGUUUGAUAAGUUUCUUGUGAAAUUUUGGGUCUUAAGCUCGAAGCGGGCAAGAAGUACUGUCAAACUAGAGACUGGGAGACGGAAGAAGUACGUUCAAAGUAGCGGUAAAAUGCUUUAAUCUUGGGCGGACUAACAACAGCGAAGGCAUCUUCCGAGAACAGUUCUGACAGUAAGGGAUGAAGGCCAGGGGCGCAAAACGGAUUAGAUACCCGGGUAGUC
rnacentral:rRNA from 1 species